UGUGGCUCAGAGGUAGAGCGCUCGCCUAGCACGCAGGAGGCCCUGGGUUCAAUCCCCGGUA
rnacentral:tRNA from 1 species